CUACAAUGAAGUAACCAAAAAAAGCCCAAAUAAAUUUUACUCGAGUCUUCAUGAUGGGUACUCUUAAAAAUAUUUUCUAUUGUGUACAUAUAUUUCUCCUGACAGGAUGGCGUUGAAUCUACCGUAAACUUAGUUCGCUCAAUGUGUCCGAUAUGUUUGAAUAAUAUGUUCCAGAAUAUAAAAUAUGAAUUAUAUAUUCAAUUUACUAUUUCUUCAUUUCAUCUAGAAAACAAGGUUUAGGUAAUCGAAGUAUACGAAUAGGUUGGCCGAUUGUAUUAUCGAGCCGAUUUAACGUAAAAAUAUAGCUUAUCAAAUUAAAUCGAUUAUUUAGGGACAUACAGAAUAAUAAUAAAAAAUGGUAACAAUAAUAAAAUCAAUACUGCAGCCAUUAUAAUUAUGUUACGGUGCAACACGCGAGUACA